rnacentral:rRNA from 1 species
AUUGAACGCUGGCGGCAGGCCUAACACAUGCAGGUCGAGCGGAUGAAGGGAGCUUGCUCCUGGAUUCAGCGGCGGACGGGUGAGUAAUGCCUAGGAAUCUGCCUGGUAGUGGGGGAUAACGUCCGGAAACGGGCGCUAAUACCGCAUACGUCCUGAGGGAGAAAGUGGGGGAUCUUCGGACCUCACGCUAUCAGAUGAGCCUAGGUCGGAUUAGCUAGUUGGUGGGGUAAAGGCCUACCAAGGCGACGAUCCGUAACUGGUCUGAGAGGAUGAUCAGUCACACUGGAACUGAGACACGGUCCAGACUCCUACGGGAGGCAGCAGUGGGGAAUAUUGGACAAUGGGCGAAAGCCUGAUCCAGCCAUGCCGCGUGUGUGAAGAAGGUCUUCGGAUUGUAAAGCACUUUAAGUUGGGAGGAAGGGCAGUAAGUUAAUACCUUGCUAUUUUGACGUUACCAACAGAAUAAGCACCGGCUAACUUCGUG